UUUGUGUAAAACUGGUGGGACCAUGUACGUCCCUUUUAAAUUAAAAGAAAACAUACGUGACAGAAGUAACACUUUCCGUUUUGAUCAUCCUGUAUCACUCAGUCCAGAAGAAGGACCACCUUUCUCUUGGUUAGCUGGUUUCAAGCCCCGGUUUAUGUUUAGCUGAUGCCCUGUAUUGCCCUUUUCAAAACUCGUGUCUUACCGUUUUGAAGCACAAUUGAGGACCACCGAUUACCAAACUUUGCUUUCGUCUUCAUUUUGGCUUCCGAUUCUUUGCUCUCCAUCUACUUCGCCGGUUGCUUUCACUUCCCGAUUCUCGAUUUCCCGUCGCCCGACUCCGAUUGCUUUCACUUCCUGAUCGACGAUUUCUCCGUCUUGUCCUAAAUUGUAUUGAAAUUGCCGUCUUCUCCAUCGUCUUCGUUGAGGUUCUGGUCUCUGAGAUAGCUCUCUAGGUCUUUCCAUUUUACCUCAGAUUCUUCUAUGGAAACUUUGAAUCAUCCAUGGAGAACAAACGAUUGUGUUGGAAAAUAUGGACUGCAUCUUCUGGUGCGGGUUGAUGAUUUGAAAAACCUUCAGAAACAAAUGUUCUUUGUAGUAACUGGAGAAGUCGGAAGCACCCAAUCAUAUGGUUUAAAGGUGCAGCUGAUGCUGAUGCAAAUAUUCUUCUGUGUUAUUUGGGAAUACUGGGUUCUUUUGGGUGGUGGAGGGUAGGAAAAAGCCAGUUGCGGGUUUCUGUUCGAUAAACUAUUUGAGAUAUUUCUAAACCAAAAGAGUAAGACAUCGUUACUUUUUGAUCUCCUUACUGAAGGUUAGUCGAUUAUCUUCCUUCCUCACAUGGUUUUAUCUUUUAUAUGUUCAUUAAUGGUGAAAAUAUUUUGCUAAAUUUCGGUCUAUCUUCUAAAUAUCUAUUUUAUGCAAAUUGAUAUGGAUUAAACUAGCUAGUGCAAUGAUGAUGUGUGAAACUGUAUGAUGUGCUCUUUAUGUCUAGAAAGAUGUAGAAUAUAUAUUGUGUUUAUAUGUCAUGCAAGUCAAUGAAAUGAUUAUUUUUGUUUAA